rnacentral:rRNA from 1 species
UGCAAGUCGAACGAAGCACUUUAUUUGAUUUCCUUCGGGACUGAUUAUUUUGUGACUGAGUGGCGGACGGGUGAGUAACGCGUGGGUAACCUGCCUUGUACAGGGGGAUAACAGUUGGAAACGGCUGCUAAUACCGCAUAAGCGCACAGCAUCGCAUGAUGCAGUGUGAAAAAUUCCGGUGGUAUAAGAUGGACCCGCGUUGGAUUAGCUAGUUGGUGAGGUAACGGCCCACCAAGGCGACGAUCCAUAGCCGACCUGAGAGGGUGACCGGCCACAUUGGGACUGAGACACGGCCCAAACUCCUACGGGAGGCAGCAGUGGGGAAUAUUGCACAAUGGGCGAAAGCCUGAUGCAGCGACGCCGCGUGAGCGAAGAAGUAUUUCGGUAUGUAAAGCUCUAUCAGCAGGGAAGAUAAUGACGGUACCUGACUAAGAAGCACCGGCUAAAUACGUGCCAGCAGCCGCGGUAAUACGUAUGGUGCAAGCGUUAUCCGGAUUUACUGGGUGUAAAGGGAGCGCAGGCGGUGCGGCAAGUCUGAUGUGAAAGCCCGGGGCUCAACCCC